ACUAGGUCUCAGUUCNGAUUGCAGGCUGNAACCCGCCCUGCAUGAAGUCGGAAUUGCUAGUAAUCGCGGAUCAGCAUGCCGCGGUGAAUACGUUCCCGGGCCUUGUACACACCGCCCGUCACACCAUGGGAGCCGGUAAUACCCGAAGUCAGUAGUCCAACCUCGUGAGGACGCUGCCGAAGGUAGGAUUGGCGACUGGGGUGAAGUCGUAACAAGGUAAC
rnacentral:rRNA from 1 species